rnacentral:rRNA from 1 species
UACGAAGGGGGCUAGCGUUGUUCGGAAUUACUGGGCGUAAAGCGCACGUAGGCGGAUCGAUCAGUCAGGGGUGAAAUCCCAGGGCUCAACCCUGGAACUGCCUUUGAUACUGUCGAUCUGGAGUAUGGAAGAGGUGAGUGGAAUUCCCAGUGUAGUGGUGAAAUACGUAGAGAUUGGGAAGAACACCAGUGGCGAAGGCGGCUAUCUGGACGGUUUCUGACGCUAAGACGCGAAAGCGUGGGGAGCAAACAGG